UUCCAGGCAGGGAAGACAAGGUAAAGUAUGCUGAAAUUCUGCUGUGUUCACUUUUAGAUAAAACACGGAUUCAUGCUGCUGAAGUCCAUGGAGAUGCUAAAGUCAGUCAUGUAUAAACAGUGAUCUAUGAUCUAAAGUUUCAGGAGGGACGAAGAAUGCACAGUCCAAAACGUUGGUCAUCUACCUGAGAAACACAUUAACAACAGGGAUCAGAAGAGCCUUUUGGCAUGAAGGUAAGAAGGAAAGGAGGGCUGGCAGCAUGCUCCUGUCUGACACCUCCAAACUCUGCACCUGGUAUUUCCCUGCAUCUCUAAGAUGGGCCUCAUGGGGUGCUACCAGGCUCCAUGCUUUGCUGUGAGGAUAAGAGGAGUGCCUGGAGCACAAGUCACCGCAGCUUAUUCGCUGUAGAUCUGUUCCUUACCCUUUCUUAAAAACAAUCAAGGAUGCAUUUGGUCCACACUAAGGGGAGCAUGUACGCAGGCAAGGUGCUUUCAUGCUGGAAGGCAGCCACUCUGAGCAUGGUUUCAGGAAUGGGAUGGUCUCAGAGCCAUCACGCUGCUGAUAUUUCACAUUUGGCACAUCACCGACCCCAGCCUGCGCCUUGGCUGUGUAGGGAGACAUUCUCGGAAAUGACCUGCAUGCGAUUCAAGUUUUAAGCUGGUUAAGGAAAAGACCUCAAAUGAAUCCUUAUCUAAGAUGGAAGCACUUUUAAGGAAGAAUGAAACCCAGAAAGAUAAGGAAAAACAUUCCCCCCCCCUCCUUUACUCUAUCACAUCAGAUUGACUUAUCCUCUGUUAUGUGGGUUUACUUUGAAACAGAUCACUCUCAUUGCAACACGUUCAGUGCUGCCAGCCACCACAUGGUUAUUUGGCAGCUAUUUAAAGCUCAGAUCAUAUUACUCAGUCGCAGUGCUAGGCACCCAUGUUCCAACUGGUAUACAACUGAUCUAAAGAGAAAUCAGCUUUAGGUUUUGUUCUCUGAAAUUAAAUGUGACGGUAUGAUCUCUGUGAUCCUUUUUCCCCCCCUUUUCUCCCCUCCCCCCCUUUUUUUUUCUUUUUUUGUAUGCAUUAUUACUUUUUUGGAACAGUGUUCUGCUAGCACCACAGGAGAAAUUCAGUUAGGCUGUCUGCCCAAUGUAGUGUAUUAUCAGACACCUUCGCUUUUCCUCCUCUUACAUUUGCGUAAGAGCUUAUAAACCACAGAGAAUAAAAAUUGUUAAAUAGAAUGAAAUGACCUGUCAAGGGUAGAUAUAGUAUUUGUGAAUGACUUAAAAAAAUUCCACCAGCUUCAAGGACACCAGCUUCACUGACUGACUGUGCUCUCUUGAAAUCUGGCCUUUCUUUUUUCCCCAGGUAAAAUGCUUUGAUGGUCAUCAGUCUUAGAUGACCUGAAAAGGAAUAGUUUUGUCUUCCCAUAUCCAGCCCAGGAUGAGACUGUGUAGCAGGAGAGGAUGCCAUUGUGAGAUUUGGAAGAGAUUUGAAUCCUGCUCUUAAUAUAAUGAGCCUAAAUCUUGAAUUUUGCAAAACAUUGAACAAAGUCAGAUGAGUCAAGAUGAGCGGCUCUUAAGAAGAAGUAACCAACAAAUAUUUUACACUGCAGGAAACUUUCAUCACUGGAGAAUAGGAAAAUUUUCCAUAGGAAUAAAGUGACUGAUUUCAAACCCAGUUAGCUGUUGACCCUGAUAGAUAUAUAUUCAGAUGAGGAGCUGAAGCGAUCAGCUUGGAUUUAACCUAUCUCAGGAAGUAUAGGGUAGUGCUAUACCCAGAAGCACAAUUUGGUCAGUAAGUUGGAGUUUUGAAUGUAAUCCUUAUUUGAUUAUUUUAUUUUCUGAAGUUCUGUCAUCUCCUCUCCCUCCCUGUACAAUUUCAGGCUUUAAAGCUUUGCCCUGAGCUUCAAAUAGCAACUUCUAUUGCUAAUCAAAGCGACAGAAAAAGUGUAUUUAUGUAUGUUCCUGGACUAGUGCAAAGGUUAUUCUGUAACUUGUUUCUUCAGUGUGAACAUCACAUAAUCCAAGACUGUCACAUUUAGCCUUCCCUGAGGAGCAGGCUUUAUGGAGGGAAGCACCGAGGUUCUCUGAGCACCACAGACAGCAGCCCUCAAUGUGCCAGGACCAACACAGGCAAUGAGAAAUAGGAGGAUAUGAAUGUAGCUUAAAAUAUGCGUGUAAAACUGAAAGAAGGCACAGCGGGCUGGCAUCGUAUUCUCAUUCAUAUAGCUCCAGCUUUUUCUAUAGCAAACACUUUUCAACACUGUGCGUUGGAGAUGCACAACGCACAGCUCAUGUGAGGCUCUCCCAAGUCAUAGAAUCAGAAUGUCCUGAGUUGGAAGGGACCCAGAAGAAUCAUCAAGUCCAACACUUGGCAUCACAUAGAACCACCCAAAAAUCAGACUGUACAUUUGAGAGUGUUGUUCUGACACUUCCUGAUCUCUGACGAGCUUGAUGCCAUGACUGCUGCUCUGGGGAGCCUGUUCCAGUAUCCAAUCACCUCUGCUGAAGAAGCUUUUCCCGAUAUCCACCCUGACCCUUCCCUGUCAAGAGUCAGCUGUGUCUGUGGAAAUGAACCUGGUGGGGUUCAGAACUGGAUGGUAUGGGUAAGCUGUGAUUCUUCAGUUGGGUUCGUAUGGUAUUGGACAGAAGCUGUGCAGAGUUUCAUGCUUCGCUGGAAGAUAUUUCUGAUGAACUUCUGAUUCUUUGUGUCUACAGAGAAUGCAAUCCACAAGAGGUACCUGCUUCUUAUCACUGUCAGGAAGAAUGCUCUAGGCUGCUCAGAAACAAACAACUCCUACAAGCUAAUGAGAACCCCAGUAGUACUUUAUUGUAGAAACAACCCUGUAGAAGUCUGUGUCACAGGGCAAUGACAUACAUGCUCAAAGACAGGUCAGUGACAGCUGGUUCUAGUACAUGAGACCCUUUCACAGCUCUAACCUGUGAUUCAUCCAAUAGGAAAAUAUUUGGAUGACCUCUCUGUAGUAAGGGACUUUAACUCAUGACUCAGACAUAUUGAAAUAUUAGGCACUUAUAUUCCAAUUAUUAACUGCUAUAAAAAGGCAUAUCUGACAUUUUUUUUUCGCAGCAGAAAAGAAUCCCGACAAAAGAACCCCGACUGGGCCCGGGCCGGGGCAGGGCCGGGAAGGCGCGGCGGGGCCUGCAGGGCGGCCGGCGGCCACAGGGGGGCUUCGUUCAGCCUCUCACAGAGGAGCGGCGGCGGCCGCUUGGCUUUCCCCCUCCCUCACGGAGGCUGUGCUUCCAGCUCUGGGUUAUCCCGUUCAUUCCAGGUUCUUAAAUUCUGCCCCCUUAACGCCGUUCAGGUUAAAGGCAGUUCAGCACAACUUGCCCUUUUCAUAAGUGUUGUGUUACCUUAAUAAAAAUGUGCUAAAAGCACUUACAGCCGUCCAGAAUUCUGGGGUACUGCUCUACUUUUUACUACCAACGGGUACUUCAACCAUUUAUUCCUUAAAUAAUUAGCCAUGAGAGUAAUCACAGAAUCAUAGAAUUGUUUGAGCUGGAAGGGACCCUUAAAGGCCAUCUAGUCCAUCUCCCCUGCAAUGAACAGGGACACCUACAGCUUGAUCAGGGUGCUCAGAGCCCCGUCCAGCCUGACCUUGUAUGUCUCCAGAGACCCCAUCCACCACCUCUCUGGGCAACCUGUGCCAGUGCCUCACCACCCUUAAUGUAAAAAACUUCCUUACAUCUAGUCUAAUUCUCCCCUCUUUUAGUUAGAAACCAUUUCCCCUUGUCUUAACACAACGGAUGCUACUGGAGGGUCUGCCCCCUUUUUUUUUUCUUACAGCCCCCCUUUAGAUACUGAAAGGCUGCUAAUACAUAUGAACAACAACAAUACAUCUUUUUGUUAUUAUUAUUACUUAAACAAUUGCAUUCAUUCAUAGAUCUCAAAGUGCUAUUUAAAUGAGGUCAGCACAAUUAACCCUGCUGAACCACUGCUGUGCAGAGCUUCCAGACUGCUGUCACUGUGCAUCAGCCGAGCACACAGUCCUGUCUCUAACACCUUUAAGCAAAGACUGGAGCCAAAACCAAAGCGGCAGGAAGCUUCCAUAUUAGAUAAGGUUUUUGGACACAGAAGCUCUCACUGCCUCGAAGAGAGAGAGAAAACAGCCUGAAAGCAUUUGGAAACUGCCCUGCUGUGGUUGGAACAGUUGGGGAUCACUGAAGAACUGCAAUGAGGGGGAGCAGCAGCUGGCAAAAGCUAGGAGAGUUAGGUGCAAGAGGAGAGCAGAGCUCCUUAAGUAACACACAGCCCAGGGAGCUGUCACGGGUCUGAGAUAGGUUCCUGUUCUUACUCGGAGAGAAACGUUCCCGGUGAUCUGGAAGAGCGAGGGGGCUAAAGCCCUAAAAGGAGGCCUCCAAUUUUAGAAAUGCCUCUUGUCCCCACAAUCCCUCCAUUUUUAUAACAUUUUUUAGGUAUGACAUUAUACAAACUAUGUAACUGACAAAUCCUCCAUUUGCAUUAGAUUUAAGUGGCUUCCCUCCCAUCACUCCUCGCUGUUAAAAAUACAUUACAGAAAUUACUAUCCCGCCUAGGAAAAUGUGUGAUGACUCCAGUGUCUGUCGUUUAUGUCUAAAACAUUUUGGCACUUAUCCUGCCAGGUUGUCUUUUCCUUUCAGCUUUGAGUGAGAGAAGGGGAAGUGCAGGGUGAGGGGCCAGAUUUUUCUAUUUCCCUAGUUGCUGCCUGCAUGCAUUGCAGCCCACACUGCAGGCGUGAUGGGAUCUAAAUGCUGAGCAGGAGCAGUGAAAUCCUCGUGAGGAAAAGAGAAUAGAAAGCAGAGAGAAGCCACACUUCAGGCUACCCUAAGAGUGUCUGUAUCAAAUCAGAGCAAAGAUACUGCCCAAGAUCUUGUCUUCCUACAACAGUCAAUAUUUACAGAGAAACUAUCAGCAAACAGCAAGCGUGACAUGAUCUUUCCUCCUGAGUCACCUUUCAGCUUCUGCAAAGGGGACAGACACCUUUCUGCCUUCAUCUCAUUUGCAUGUGGACUGAAUUUGGCCCUCUGCAUCUGAACAAGCCCCCAAUCUCCUUCACUCCCCUCUCCUGCAGCCCCCAGCUGCUACAUCAGUGCCAUUGGGGCUGCUCACAUCAGGCAUUUCUAAACACUAAUCAAGCACAGAGAUCCCUUUUCCCUCUGCUAAGAGCCUGGCUCAAUCUGGAAGGAAAGGAGGAGAAUCAAUCUACCUGAUUGCUGUAUCCCUUUCAUCUUGCACUUUGCAGCCCCUUGCCAAGCAGAGCAGCGGGAGAGUUUCAGCUCGAUCAGCUCAGCUGCUCCCGGCAGGUGUCACUAUGGAAUGGCAAAAUGCAACUCGAAGGCUGUGAUUGCUGCUGCAGGCAGCAUGUCCGCUGAAGUGCCACGUUGGUACCAUGGCGCUGCAGCCAGGAAAGUUUCCUAAUUAGAUCUGAAACAGAGGUGCUGCUGCCCUCUGCUUUCCCCAUGUUUGUCUCUCCACUGUCACAACCCUAACAGUGGGUUGGAGGAGUUUUCUGGGUUUUUUUGUGUUUUCUUAAAUAUAUAUAUAUGCAACAUUGCUUAGCAAUGAAUGAAGAGUCACCCUUCUUCAUGGAUCGCUGCCUCGUGUAGUAACAUGAGCACAAUGACGUGUAAAGUUUCCAGAACUGUUGGUAAUUACUGAUAAGCCCAGUUCAGCUCUCAGUUACAUACAAAGCUGGGUAAACAAUGGGAGGAAAAAAUUAAUUAGAGCCCAUGUUUGCUAAAGCUGGCUAGCGAUUCCAUCUGAUCACGUUCCUGCUCCUUUCAUUCCCUUUGCACAAAUGUUUGGGUGGUCAGGUUAUGCUGGUGUGUAGGUGUACAGGAGGAGCUUUUGUCUGUGCAAAUAGUGCAUCUCUCCCAGGGCAUGGGCCCUUCUGGUAAGCACUCGCCCAUGCCCUUGUGUUUGCAGCUGGGAAGGUGUCUGAAGGCCUGGGCAGGCAGAGGUUAAAUGGUUGCCUCUCCCAAGCAAUACAUACCUGAAGUCUCCACACCACCAAAACCAGCAAGGGAAGAAGGAAGAGAGAACAGGUGGGAAUGGGAAACAAUAGGAAGGACACACAUCUAGAGAAAUUUCACAUGUUUUGACCCCAUAGUACUCUUUGGCAAUGUGUCUUCUGUGACACAGCACAGACUAUGUGAAGCGGAAAAGGAAGAUUCAGAAAGCUUCUAUUUGGCAUGGGCUGGACACAUUACUAGCACAAACAUUGGGCCUAGAUCACAUUGCUUCACUUGCUGGGAACGCUGGGACUGGUCAAGUUCUUAGAGACUUCUUCCAAUCAAUUGUAAGACUUCAUGAGUACUACACGGCACCUUGAACACUGCAUGGGCUGCUUGUAUCUGCCUGAUUUCUCAUCAGGGACUCAGGCAACUUCCAGUGUGACAGGAGUCAGGGUGUUGCCAGGGAUCUAAACAUCACAUUCUCCUCCAUGACUGAAUCCUCUCACUGUGGCAGGCCUGAUUUCCUUGUGUCAAAGUAAGUCCGGUCUUGACAACAUGGUCAGACCAGACGACCUCCAAACACCCCUUCCAACUAAAAUAACUGUUAAGUCCAUGAUUGUGGGGUCAUUUCCUGAUAUACUUCUUUCCCUGAGGUUCUCCCUCAGAGCCAGUGCCUCAGUGAUUUCUUCAGAUUCAGCUCAAAAUUGUGGAAACCAGGUCAAGCCAUGAUGGGAAAGCUACAAGGCCAAGCUUACCAUGAGAAAUCAUGGGGAAAAUACAAAGCCUACACCAUGAUUCUUACGGCAUGAAUGGAAUGGGAUGCAUCCACUAGAAGAACUGGUUGCACAGCAAAAUAUAUUUAUACAUAUAUAUAUAUAGGAGACAAUGCAGUUCUUUUGGAAAUAGCUUGUAGAGAGUACCAAAUUGGACUGAUUUUUUGAUGUCAAUAAACCAUCUGAUGAGUCCUGGCAUCUUCAGAGUCUUGUGAUGUCUUUCUCCUCUUGUGAAGAAAUGCUUGGCAGAUGAAUCCAUAAAAUCCUGUCCUUUUGUGCACUCAUUUUACAGCACUGUUUGUGUCCUGGUGCACAAAGUUGUGUUUUAUGGAGUGCUAGGAAAGGCUCAGAUCAAAGCUAAUGCGAUUUAUCCAUGAUACUUUCUGCAAGAAGAGUUCAAAAGAUAGGAAAUCACAUAUGAAGAAAAUUAGGCUUUGCAUAUAAUUUCCUGUACUUUAUGGAGAGCUGAGACCACAGAAAGAAGGAUUCUGGUGAGAGGCCUGAUACUGAUCCCUUCUUUCUCCCACUAGCACAUUGGAUAAUAUAGAUCCCAUCUAAUUUAACCUGUGGGGACUCCUCUUUGCCUCCAACCGCUGACCUGACAGUGUGCUUCUAACACAAACUCUGAGUGUAAUUAAAUUCUCUUAUUUCCCCAUUUGAGCUACUAUUAGGAAAAAAAAAAAGCCAAAAAAACAUUCCUAUGCUCCUAUUUUUGUUUACUUCAAACAGUUGCUGGAUGUAAGCCAUUCUAAUUAAACUGCAAAGUUCUUCUGUGGGCAGCUCGGAUGUUGGUAAAAUUGAUGUCAAGUGUUACAGAAAUCUGUAUUGUUUGCAGUGAUCUUUCUGAAUUCCACUGGCAUAGAGAAGUAGCAGCCAAAAACAAACAAACAAACAAACAAACAAACAAUCAAAUAAAUAAAUAAAGCCCCUAGAUCUAUUUACUAUUGCUUUUUUUUUUUUUUUUUUUUGGCUGUUCCCAGGGUCUUCAUGCAAUUUGCUAAGCCAGGAUACAGCUUGAUGCAGGACAUCAGCUGAUAAAUGUGGGUGGUACUUGGGCUUCAGAUAAAGAUUAAUCUAUAAAUUAAUCAGGGGACAAGAAAAUCUCCUUCCAUAACAAGAACAGCCCUUGUAAAUCAAGGUUUCAAUUUGGUAUAAUUAAAUGAGCAACUGGCCUGCAAAUUGUUGACCACACACAGGUUACAGAAGUGAUACUAUUGUAACCUACAUGGUUGUGCCAAGUUUCCAACAGAAGACCCUGAGGCACUUCUCUAGCGGUGUGGGAAGGUCUGGAGCAUCACCCAGCUGAGCUGCGUGCACUUGCUCAUACUCAAUUAGCAAGUUCAGGCUGUGUAUAUAACCCAUGCUGCCUACGGUGCCAAGCAGCCAAUUGCCCUCAGCAGCUACUAAUAUAGAAUUGCAAAGUAUAGUUAAUUAAGUAGGUACAAUUUAUUCCAUAGUAUGUUCCCUGUGUAUAAAACUGCGUGUAGUUUUUGGCUAUUGAUGUAGGAUACUGCUUUAAGAGUUAUCCCUUGUGUUCCUGGUCUCAGGUGCCCAUUCCUUCUUCUACGUAGUAUGUGGGACCUUGGCCUGUACUUGGGAUUGUGGAGUCAUAGAAUCAUAGAAUCCUUAGAUUUGGAAGGGACCUCUGAAGGCCACAUAGUCCAACUCCCCUGCAAUGAACAGGGACACCACAGCUAAAUCAGGUUUCCCAGGGCCUUAUUGAGCCUCACCUUGAAAGUCUCCAGGGACAGGGCAUCAACCACAUUGAGUAACCUGUUCUAGUGCCUCACCACCCUCACUGUAAAAGAGUUUUUCCUUAUAUCCAAACUAAAUCCACCCUCCCUGAGCUUGAAACCAUUUCCCUUUGUUCUAUUGCCACAGAUCCUGCUAAAGAGUCUUUGCCCUUCUUUCCCGUAGCUCCCCUUUAGAUACUGAAAGGCUGUUAUCAGGUCACCUCUCAGCCUUCUCUUCUCCAGGCUGCACAGCCCCAGCUCUCUCAGCCUGUAUGCGUAGGAGAGGUGUUCCAUUCCCUGAAUCAUUUUUGUGCCCCUUCUCUGGAUGCACUCCUAGAAGUCUAUGCCUGUCAAGUCUCCUGUACUGAGGACUCCACAGCUGCAUGCAGUACUCCAGGUGAGACCUCACAGCGCAGUGUAGAGGGGCAGGAUCACCUCCCUUGCCCUAUUGGUCAUAUCUGGUCUAGUGGUUGGCAACCUUGCACAUAGCAGGGGGGUUGAAACUAGAUGAUCAUUGUGGUCCCUUUCAACACAGGCCAUUAUAUGAUAUAAUUCUAUGAUCUUUUGUUGCAGAUCAGGAUAUGCUUGGCUUUCUGAGCUGCAAGGGCACGCUGCUGGCUCAUGUCUAGCUUGCCAUCCACCAGUCCCCCCAAGUCUUUUUCAGCAGGGCUGCAUUUAGUCCUUUCACCCCCCAGCUUAAAUUUGUAGUGGGAGUUAUCUUGACCCAAAUGUAAGAUCUUGUAUUUGGAUUUGUUGAAUAUCCUGACGUUCACCUGGGCUCACUGCUCAAGCUCAAGUCCCUC
ensembl:lncRNA